ensembl:snRNA U5 U5 spliceosomal RNA
GUACUCUGGUUUCUCUUCAUAAUGUAUAAGCCUUUCACUUUUACUAAAGACUUCCAUGGAGAGUGACGCUAAUGAGUUACACCUACUUUCAGUGGGCUCUGGUGCUCUGGAGGACC